rnacentral:rRNA from 1 species
AGAGUUUGAUUUUGGCUCAGGAUGAACGCUGGCGGCGUGCCUAAUACAUGCAAGUCGGACGGACAGUUUACUGUCAGUGGCGAACGAGUGAGUAACACGUAGGUAACCUGCCCCUGUGAGGGGGACAACAGCUGGAAACGGCUGCUGAUACCGCAUAGGCAUCCCCACCGCAUGGUGGAGAUGUUAAAGGUCCUUUAGGGGACCGCACGGGGAUGGACCUGCGGCGCAUUAGCUGGUUGGCGGGGCAACGGCCCACCAAGGCGACGAUGCGUAGCCGACCUGAGAGGGCGGACGGCCACACUGGGACUGAGACACGGCCCAGACUCCUACGGGAGGCAGCAGUAGGGAAUUUUCGGCAAUGGGGGGAACCCUGACCGAGCAACGCCGCGUGAGCGAAGAAGGCCUUCGGGUCGUAAAGCUCUGUUAUGAAGGAAGAAGGAGGCCACUAGGGAAUGGGUGGCCGGUGACGGUACUUCAUGAGGAAGCCACGGCUAACUACGUGCCAGCAGCCGCGGUAAUACGUAGGUGGCGAGCGUUAUCCGGAAUCAUUGGGCGUAAAGAGGGAGCAGGCGGCGGAAAAGGUCUGUGGUGAAAGCCCGAAGCCAAACUUCGGUAAGCCAUGGAAACCGGUCUGCUGGAGUGCGGUAGAGGAUCGUGGAAUUCCAUGUGUAGCGGUGAAAUGCGUAGAUAUAUGGAGGAACACCAGUGGCGAAGGCGACGAUCUGGGCCUGCACUGACGCUCAGUCCCGAAAGCGUGGGGAGCAAAUAGGAUUAGAUACCCUAGUAGUCCACGCCGUAAACGAUCGAUACUAAGUGUCGGGAGUCAAAUCCCAGUGCUGGAGUCAACGCAAUAAGUAUCGCGCCUGAGUAGUACGUUCGCAAGAAUGAAACUCAAAGGAAUUGACGGGGGCCCGCACAAGCGGUGGAGCAUGUGGUUUAAUUCGAAGCAACGCGAAGAACCUUACCAGGUCUUGACAUCGAUCCAAAAGGAGCGGAGAUGCUCCCAUAGCUAUGGAGAAGACAGGUGGUGCAUGGUUGUCGUCAGCUCGUGCCGUGAGGUGUCGGCUUAAGUGCCAUAACGAGCGCAACCCCUCUCCGUAGUUGCCAUCGGGUUAAGCCGGGCACUCUGCGGACACUGCCACCGCAAGGUGUGAGGAAGGUGGGGAUGACGUCAAAUCAGCACGGCCCUUACGUCCGGGGCUACACACGUGUUACAAUGGGGAGUACAGAGAGCCGGUCUGCGGCAACGCCGAUCCAAUCCUUAAAGCUCUCCUCAGUUCGGAUUGGGGUCUGCAACCCGACCCCAUGAAGCUGGAUUCGCUAGUAAUCGCGCAUCAGCCAUGGCGCGGUGAAUACGAUCCCGGGCCUUGUACACACCGCCCGUCA